UACGGAGGGCGCAAGCGUUGCUCGGAAUCACUGGGCGUAAAGCGUACGCAGGCGGAUCAACAAGUCGGGUGUGAAAGCCCGGGGCUCAACCCCGGAACUGCAUCCGAAACUGUUGGUCUUGAAUACGAGAGAGGGAAGCGGAAUUCCUGGUGUAGAGGUGAAAUUCGUAGAUAUCAGGAGGAACACCCGUGGCGAAAGCGGCUUCCUGGCUCGAUAUUGACGCUCAUGUACGAAAGCGUGGGGAGCAAACAGG
rnacentral:misc_RNA from 1 species